GUGGGCUGGGGUGUGGGGGCUCCCUGGGAACAAGAAGGUUCUGGAAGUCCUGGUGUUCUUGGAAACCCAGCAACAGAUCUCUCUUUAGAGCUGGCCAGGACCUGGACCAUAAACAAAAUGGGAGAAUAACAGUCCCAUGACUGGGAAAGGAGGCAGGAAAAGUCAGCAAAGGAAAUGGCAUAUCCUGUGGAACAAAGCUGGAGGGGCCUGCCAAGUCGUUAAGGAACCAGCACGGUCCAUGUUUCUGUGUGUAUCUGACAGAAUGCCCCCAAAGACACUGUAAGGUUCCAACUGGUUUAAAAUUUAUUCUCAUGAAGGUUGUGAUAAUCCUUGUCUACAUUCUUUUACAUAAGGAGAAAUAAUGUCCCAUCUCCACCUAAUUUACAGAAUCUGAAUUUAAAGAAAUCCCCAAAGAGACCUUUUAUUUCCUAGAAAGCCUCUUGUUUUCUGGUUCUCCCCAUCUGCCGCUGCUAGUCGUGAGCUCGUCCACGACUGGCCCCUGGAAUGGGAAGCCCCACAGCGGUUUUAGCUUGGACAGUUUCAUGCAAACGUAUCCACUGACAAGACUUGUGAUGGCUCCGUCGGAAAUGUCAAGUGUAAACACUUGGAAGUGGCAAGUGAUGAUGACAUCAAGAGUCAACCUGAACUCAAAACAGCGAAUAAAUUACCCGGUCCUCUGAACUGACCUGCUAAGUUGUGAUUUCACUUUUUAAAAAAUUCCACCUAUUGUUUUAAAAAAAGAGAGUGACAUACAGAAGUGUAACUUUGGACCAGACCUUUGAUGAGGGCCUAUUUCUGUCUUAAUGACUAGUUUAUCUUAAGACACCAAACGAGCAACUGAAGGAUAAUGACACUUGAACCUAACUAUAAAUCAUCUCUCUUUUCCUCAAAUGGGAAAUACCUUCAUAAUUUAAGUCAAAUAAAACUUCUCCCUGAAA